rnacentral:rRNA from 1 species
UGGGGAAUAUUGCACAAUGGGCGCAAGCCUGAUGCAGCCAUGCCGCGUGUAUGAAGAAGGCCUUCGGGUUGUAAAGUACUUUCAGCGAGGAGGAAGGCGUUGUGGUUAAUAACCGCAACGAUUGACGUUACUCGCAGAAGAAGCACCGGCUAACUCCGUGCCAGCAGCCGCGGUAAUACGGAGGGUGCAAGCGUUAAUCGGAAUUACUGGGCGUAAAGCGCACGCAGGCGGUCUGUCAAGUCGGAUGUGAAAUCCCCGGGCUCAACCUGGGAACUGCAUCCGAAACUGGCAGGCUAGAGUCUUGUAGAGGGGGGUAGAAUUCCAGGUGUAGCGGUUAAAUGCGUAGAGAUCUGGAGGAAUACCGGUGGCGAAGGCGGCCCCCUGGACAAAGACUGACGCUCAGGUGCGAAAGCGUGGGGCUCAAACA